rnacentral:rRNA from 1 species
AUUGGACGCUGGCGGCAGGCCUAACACAUGCAAGUCGAGCGGAUGAAGGGAGCUUGCUCCUGGAUUCAGCGGCGGACGGGUGAGUAAUGCCUAGGAAUCUGCCUGAUAGUGGGGGAUAACGUCCGGAAACGGGCGCUAAUACCGCAUACGUCCUGAGGGAGAAAGUGGGGGAUCUUCGGACCUCACGCUAUCAGAUGAGCCUAGGUCGGAUUAGCUAGUUGGUGGGGUAAAGGCCUACCAAGGCGACGAUCCGUAACUGGUCUGAGAGGAUGAUCAGUCACACUGGAACUGAGACACGGUCCAGACUCCUACGGGAGGCAGCAGUGGGGAAUAUUGGACAAUGGGCGAAAGCCUGGUCCAGCCAUGCCGCGUGUGUGAAGAAGGUCUUCGGAUUGUAAAGCACUUUAAGUUGGGAGGAAGGGCAGUAAGUUAAUACCUUGCUGUUUUGACGUUACCAACAGAAUAAGCACCGGCUAACUUCGUG